AAACAAUCAUUAGUGAAAUGGCUCCCUCCCGCUCAGUCCGGGAAAAGGCAAAACAAGUAUGCGAGAAAAGAAAAGAAAAAAUUGGAAAAUCAAAAUGACCGCUUAGAAAAGUCAUAACCCCAGCCCAAGAGAAUGCAGAGGAAAGCAACGGAGACUGUACGGACUCAAAUGGAGUGUAUGCGGUUGAUCUGCGACAGAGAUGCCAAAAUCCAACUCCAUAAAGUGGACUCCUUCAUGGCGUCGUUUUGCAACUCUCUGGAUUCCAUCAAAGCCAUAGUAGAAGAAACUAUGCAAAAUCAAGGGAAGUCAGGGAGGUUGAAAUCUAGCUUGAGAGAAGCUGAUGAUGAAUUUGUUAAAGUUCUGGCAGUUAAAACUCGGAAAGAGGCUAAGCAGAUGGCAACAAGGGAGUCAAUAUCUGCUACAAGAGCUAGAAUACAUGAACUUCAAAAAAGUGUUCUAGUUCAAAGAGCUAGAAGGGAUGAGUUUGCAACGAUUAUGUCCCAACUAUCUCUUGCUUUGGCAACAUCUGAAGAAAUAGAACACCAAGACAUUGACCAUAAAAGGGAUAUUCAAGAGGCAAUGUUAUGGUACAAUAGGGUUCUUGGCUUCAAAAUUGAAGGCGGCCAGGGGGUAAAAUUCACACUCAACAACAUCAAUUUGAAAAAUCAAGAUGAGGAGUGCUCUUUCACCAUUCGCCAUGAAAAUGAUAUGUACACAUUGUUGGGUUGUGAUCCACAAUUGAAUGACACCAAACAGUUGAUCCACGAGUUGAAUAAAACCAAUGGCUUGUUCAAAUUUGUCAGAAAAAUGAGAGAGAAGUUUGAAGAAUCUGCAUCACUUGGAUUUUUGCCUCAAACCACAACUCUUCACCAAGAAUCUGCAACAGUAUCUGUGUCUGCUCCAGCUCUUUCAAUCUCCAGUGACACAAGUGAAUCUCCAACGAAGACAAGCAAAACUCCAGAUGAACAUAUAAGAAAUUCCAAAGGUAGCCAUGGCCGUGGAAGAGGGAGUCGAGCAAUCAUGUCUCCUGUAUCUGUUCGUCAGUCUCCACGUUUUAAGGCUAAGAAAUGAAGAAGUAGAGGCAGUCUUUUCAACUUGUUUGUGUGCAGCUAAUCAUUGUUUGUGACUAGGUUUCUUUCUGGCUUGAUAGUUGAUAUGUGGCACGGGGCCUUUUUAUACAUUUUGGAAAAUUAACUGAAAGCGAAUGGAGACUCUCUCCAGCAGAUCGAGUACUACUUAUCAGACACGAUGGCCUCAACAAGGAGCCCAAGCCAGCUGCACUAGUGCAUUUAUGCUGUGCUUUCUGGUAAUCUGAAUUGAUGACGGAGGAAUGAAAUUCACAUAGAAGAACAUGCUGUGUUGGUGGCGGAUACAGAUAUCUUUGCAGCAGUGCAUGGGUCUGCAUCCAAAGUUUCCGUGCCUCUAAUCCGUCAUUUGCUAGAGCUGAGCAGUUAAUUUCAUUACAGUCUGCAAAAUAUUUUCCACUCACACCUUCUGUUUGUGGACUCAAAGCAACAUAACAUGUGGUUGAUGCACCCUGCAUGCACGGAAUUCAGCAUAUUUCAUGUACCAUAAAACACAUUUGCACUACUAACUUCAGUGUUUGUCUGUCUAUACAUGAAUCUUUUUGGCAGGGGAAAUGACAAGGAGGUGUGGACAAACCUGAGAUGUAGAUUUUAGUAACUUGGACGCAAUCAAGUAAAGGGAAUCUGCUGAUGAAAGUUUUGUAUUUUUGAGAUUGUUUUUCUCAUCAAAGAAAAUGUUUUCUGAGAAAAAUUAAAUCAGGCUACCUGUGAUAAAGCCCUUAUAACUAUCUCUCAUUAUUCCAGUCUUUACAAUGCCUGGGUGUACUGCAUUCAUUGUCACUCUUGCAUUCCUUGCCUGCAAAGCAUUCAACUUUUAUGAGAUUAACUAAAGCUAUUAUUAUUUUUAUUA